rnacentral:lncRNA from 10 species
GUGAGGUGUAGUCGCGGCAACCAGGAGCAGGUGCACCCACCACUAGAAUUUGAACAUCCUAAGAACAGGUAUUUUUGUCUCUGCUUUGCUGAUGUAUCCUCAGCAACCGGAACUGCCUGACAUCUGAUCCUUUCUGUGAGACACCAGGCUGUUGAGGAAGAAUCUAUGGCAACAUUGUAUCUAUUAAUAUACAGCUUCUGUAUUUAUCAGGAAAUCCUGGGUGAAAUUUGGUAGUGGGUCCAAUUGCCUGCGUACUUUACUUUGAA